rnacentral:rRNA from 1 species
CCUACGGGAGGCAGCAGUGAGGAAUAUUGGUCAAUGGCCGGAAGGCUGAACCAGCCAAGCCGCGUGAGGGAGGAAGGCGCAGAGCGUCGCAGACCUCUUUUGCCGGGGGACAAAAGGCCGGACUCGUCAGGUCCUGAGUUUACCCGGAGAAAAAGCAUCGGCUAACUCCGUGCCAGCAGCCGCGGUAAUAGGGGGGAUGCGAGCGUUAUCCGGAUUCAGUGUGUUUAACGGGUGCGCAGGGGGGCCUUUAAGCCGGCGGUGAAAUCGCGGGGCUAAACCCCGCCGAGCCGUCGGAACGGGGGGCCGUGAGUGCGGCGGAGGCAUGCGGAAUGCGCGGUGUAGCGGUGAAAUGCAUAGAUAUCGCGCAGAACCCCGAUUGCGAAGGCAGCGUGCCGUGCCGCCACUGACGCUGAGGCACGAAAGCGGGGGGAUCGAACAGGAUUAGAUACCCGAGUAGUC